GGUAUGCGGCGAUAAUCAGGCAAUAGGAGGCACCUGUUGGCGAUCUGAGCAGGUGAUUCAGGGUUUUGUCUCCUCCACUAUGGAUUGGCACGCUGCACUUAGCAUGGUCAUCAUCCUGCUGAUGUCAGUAAAUUAGGUUUGGCUGUAUGUGGGGUGUUCCACCAUUGGAUUUGGCGUUAGGAGCAGUUACCUGCGGUAAACUUACUAGGACUGUGGAUGUUCUUUGGGGAUCUGUGUCUAACUCCUCUGGUGUGAGUACAUGAUGACAUGGUGCAGCACCAGAGAGUCGGCAAAGAAAGAGCCUGAGGAGCCAAGAGGAAGAAUGAAAAGUGAAGAAAAUUACAGCCGCAGACUAUAAGACUCACCAAGCAACAUUUAACUGUGACUGGCAUCGAAAGUCACACAGAGAUCCAACAAAAUAACAGAAAUAAAAACUGAUGAAAUGUUUGAAUACGGGCACUAUUUGACAGUCAGAGUGAAACAGAAAGGC